AUUGAACGCUGGCGGCAUGCUUUGCACAUGCAAGUCGAACGGUAACAGGGAGCUUGCUCCGCUGACGAGUGGCGAACGGGUGAGCAAUGCGUCGGAACGUGCCGAGUAGUGGGGGAUAACGCAGCGAAAGUUGUGCUAAUACCGCAUACGUACUGAGGUAGAAAGUGGGGGACCUUCGGGCCUCACGCUAUUCGAGCGGCCGGCGUCUGAUUAGCUAGUAGGUGAGGUAAAGGCUCACCUAGGCGACGAUCAGUAGCGGGUCUGAGAGGAUGAUCCGCCACACUGGGACUGAGACACGGCCCAGACUCCUACGGGAGGCAGCAGUGGGGAAUUUUGGACAAUGGGCGAAAGCCUGAUCCAGCCAUGCCGCGUGUCUGAAGAAGGCCUUCGGGUUGUAAAGGACUUUUGUCGGGGAGGAAAUCCCCAGCGUUAAUACCGCUGGGGGAUGACAGUACCUGAAGAAUAAGCACCGGCUAACUACGUGCCAGCAGCCGCCGUAACAC
rnacentral:rRNA from 1 species